rnacentral:rRNA from 1 species
UACGAAGGGGGCUAGCGUUGCUCGGAAUUACUGGGCGUAAAGCGCACGUAGGCGGAUUGUUAAGUCGGGGGUGAAAUCCUGGAGCUCAACUCCAGAACUGCCUUCGAAACUGGCGAUCUUGAGUCCGGGAGAGGUGAGUGGAACUGCGAGUGUAGAGGUGAAAUUCGUAGAUAUUCGCAAGAACACCAGUGGCGAAGGCGGCUCACUGGCCCGGUACUGACGCUGAGGUGCGAAAGCUAGGGGAGCAA